CAGCCUGCAAACAGCCCUCAGCCCCUCACCCAGGCUGGCCAGGCACCCCAGCGGGAACCCCCACCCUGAUCUGGCACACCCUUCAGGGCAAGCCAGCCAACCCCCACCCACUCACCAGGCUUCUAUCUAUACUAAUAAAAGGGUAAUAUGCUAA